rnacentral:tRNA from 2 species
GGACGCGUAGCUCAGUGGGAGAGCACCACGUUGACAUCGUGGGGGUCGCAAGUUCAAUCCUUGCCGCGUCCACCA